GACGAACGCUGGCGGCGUGCCUAACACAUGCAAGUCGAACGGAGUUAAGACUUCGGUUUUAACUUAGUGGCGAACGGGUGAGUAACGCGUGAGAAACCUGCCUUUCAGUGGGGGACAACAGUUGGAAACGACUGCUAAUACCGCAUAAUGUCAUUUGGGGGCAUCCCUGAAUGACCAAAGAUUUAUUGCUGAAAGAUGGUCUCGCGUCUGAUUAGCUAGAUGGCGGGGUAACGGCCCACCAUGGCGACAAUCAGUAGCCGGUCUGAGAGGAUGAACGGCCACAUUGGGACUGAGAUACGGCCCAGACUCCUACGGGAGGCAGCAGUGGGGAAUAUUGGGCAAUGGGGGAAACCCUGACCCAGCAACGCCGCGUGAAGGAAGAAGGCCUUCGGGUUGUAAACUUCUUUUACCAGGGACGAACAAAUGACGGUACCUGGAGAAAAAGCAACGGCUAACUACGUGCCAGCAGCCGCCGUAAAAC
rnacentral:rRNA from 1 species